GGCUUUGUAGCUCAGUUGGUAGAGCAGGGGACUGAAGAUCCUCGUGUCGGGAGUUCGAUUCUCUCCGAAGCCACCA
rnacentral:tRNA from 2 species